rnacentral:lncRNA from 1 species
AAUCGAACCAGUAUAAAAAUCCUUGUGUGCUUUUCUUAUGCCCUACACUCAUUUUAUUUUAACGCACAUAAUCUGCUUGGUAAAUUUUCUGAAAGAAAAUUGUUUUUUAUAAAAAAGGCUAAAUUCGUUUCAACUGUGACUUAUUACGCUUUACGCUCUCUGUGUUUUAAUCCGCUGCGCUAAACUUUUUUAAAAAUUACCCCCU